UACGAAGGGGGCUAGCGUUGUUCGGAUUUACUGGGCGUAAAGCGCACGUAGGCGGAUCGUUAAGUCGGGGGUGAAAUCCUGGAGCUCAACUCCAGAACUGCCUUCGAUACUGGCGAUCUUGAGUCCGGAAGAGGUGAGUGGAACUCCUAGUGUAGAGGUGGAAUUCGUAGAUAUUAGGAAGAACACCAGUGGCGAAGGCGACUCACUGGACAUGUAUUGACGCUGAGGUGCGAAAGCGUGGGGAGCAAACAGG
rnacentral:rRNA from 1 species